CAUAGGUUAAUGAGGCGAACCGGGGGAACUGAAACAUCUAAGUACCCCGAGGAAAAGAAAUCAACCGAGAUUCCCCCAGUAGCGGCGAGCGAACGGGGAGGAGCCCAGAGCCUGAAUCAGUGUGUGUGUUAGUGGAAGCGUCUGGAAAGGCGCGCGAUACAGGGUGACAGCCCCGUACACAAAAAUGCACAUGCUGUGAGCUCGAUGAGUAGGGCGGGACACGUGGUAUCCUGUCUGAAUAUGGGGGGACCAUCCUCCAAGGCUAAAUACUCCUGACUGACCGAUAGUGAACCAGUACCGUGAGGGAAAGGCGAAAAGAACCCCGGCGAGGGGAGUGAAAAAGAACCUGAAACCGUGUACGUACAAGCAGUGGGAGCACAGAGCAAUCUGUGUGACUGCGUACCUUUUGUAUAAUGGGUCAGCGACUUAUAUUCUGUAGCAAGGUUAACCGAAUAGGGGAGCCGAAGGGAAACCGAGUCUUAACUGGGCGUUAAGUUGCAGGGUAUAGACCCGAAACCCGGUGAUCUAGCCAUGGGCAGGUUGAAGGUUGGGUAACACUAACUGGAGGACCGAACCGACUAAUGUUGAAAAAUUAGCGGAUGACUUGUGGCUGGGGGUGAAAGGCCAAUCAAACCGGGAGAUAGCUGGUUCUCCCCGAAAGCUAUUUAGGUAGCGCCUCGUGAAUUCAUCUCCGGGGGUAGAGCACUGUUUCGGCAAGGGGGUCAUCCCGACUUACCAACCCGAUGCAAACUGCGAAUACCGGAGAAUGUUAUCACGGGAGACACACGGCGGGUGCUAACGUCCGUCGUGAAGAGGGAAACAACCCAGACCGCCAGCUAAGGUCCCAAAGUCAUGGUUAAGUGGGAAACGAUGUGGGAAGGCCCAGACAGCCAGGAUGUUGGCUUAGAAGCAGCCAUCAUUUAAAGAAAGCGUAAUAGCUCACUGGUCGAGUCGGCCUGCGCGGAAGAUGUAACGGGGCUAAACCAUGCACCGAAGCUGCGGCAGCGACACUAUGUGUUGUUGGGUAGGGGAGCGUUCUGUAAGCCUGUGAAGGUGUGCUGUGAGGCAUGCUGGAGGUAUCAGAAGUGCGAAUGCUGACAUAAGUAACGAUAAAGCGGGUGAAAAGCCCGCUCGCCGGAAGACCAAGGGUUCCUGUCCAACGUUAAUCGGGGCAGGGUGAGUCGACCCCUAAGGCGAGGCCGAAAGGCGUAGUCGAUGGGAAACAGGUUAAUAUUCCUGUACUUGGUGUUACUGCGAAGGGGGGACGGAGAAGGCUAUGUUGGCCGGGCGACGGUUGUCCCGGUUUAAGCGUGUAGGCUGGUUUUCCAGGCAAAUCCGGAAAAUCAAGGCUGAGGCGUGAUGACGAGGCACUACGGUGCUGAAGCAACAAAUGCCCUGCUUCCAGGAAAAGCCUCUAAGCAUCAGGUAACAUCAAAUCGUACCCCAAACCGACACAGGUGGUCAGGUAGAGAAUACCAAGGCGCUUGAGAGAACUCGGGUGAAGGAACUAGGCAAAAUGGUGCCGUAACUUCGGGAGAAGGCACGCUGAUAUGUAGGUGAAGCGACUUGCUCGUGGAGCUGAAAUCAGUCGAAGAUACCAGCUGGCUGCAACUGUUUAUUAAAAACACAGCACUGUGCAAACACGAAAGUGGACGUAUACGGUGUGACGCCUGCCCGGUGCCGGAAGGUUAAUUGAUGGGGUUAGCGCAAGCGAAGCUCUUGAUCGAAGCCCCGGUAAACGGCGGCCGUAACUAUAACGGUCCUAAGGUAGCGAAAUUCCUUGUCGGGUAAGUUCCGACCUGCACGAAUGGCGUAAUGAUGGCCAGGCUGUCUCCACCCGAGACUCAGUGAAAUUGAACUCGCUGUGAAGAUGCAGUGUACCCGCGGCAAGACGGAAAGACCCCGUGAACCUUUACUAUAGCUUGACACUGAACAUUGAGCCUUGAUGUGUAGGAUAGGUGGGAGGCUUGGAAGUGUGGACGCCAGUCUGCAUGGAGCCGACCUUGAAAUACCACCCUUUAAUGUUUGAUGUUCUAACGUUGACCCGUAAUCCGGGUUGCGGACAGUGUCUGGUGGGUAGUUUGACUGGGGCGGUCUCCUCCUAAAGAGUAACGGAGGAGCACGAAGGUUGGCUAAUCCUGGUCGGACAUCAGGAGGUUAGUGCAAUGGCAUAAGCCAGCUUGACUGCGAGCGUGACGGCGCGAGCAGGUGCGAAAGCAGGUCAUAGUGAUCCGGUGGUUCUGAAUGGAAGGGCCAUCGCUCAACGGAUAAAAGGUACUCCGGGGAUAACAGGCUGAUACCGCCCAAGAGUUCAUAUCGACGGCGGUGUUUGGCACCUCGAUGUCGGCUCAUCACAUCCUGGGGCUGAAGUAGGUCCCAAGGGUAUGGCUGUUCGCCAUUUAAAGUGGUACGCGAGCUGGGUUUAGAACGUCGUGAGACAGUUCGGUCCCUAUCUGCCGUGGGCGCUGGAGAACUGAGGGGGGCUGCUCCUAGUACGAGAGGACCGGAGUGGACGCAUCACUGGUGUUCGGGUUGUCAUGCCAAUGGCACUGCCCGGUAGCUAAAUGCGGAAGAGAUAAGUGCUGAAAGCAUCUAAGCACGAAACUUGCCCCGAGAUGAGUUCUCCCUGACUCCUUGAGAGUCCUGAAGGAACGUUGAAGACGACGACGUUGAUAGGCCGGGUGUGUAAGCGCAGCGAUGCGUUGAGCUAACCGGUACUAAUGAACCGUGAGG
rnacentral:rRNA from 1 species